ACCAUCUGUCUAAUUUGCAACGUUUUUGAACGACGGUUAUCAGUCGGAAGUUCAAUUUUCGUAUCUAAGCGAAGUGUUUACGCCUAAUUUUUCAGAGAAAUCGAGUUUGGAUUUCAGAAAAAGUUUCAACAAGUAAAUGGUUCAUUUCCGGCAGCUUCACCUGGCUCGAAAACGCUCGUAUUCGUUUGCAUUGUUAUUUUUCAUUUAUUUCUUUAUGCGAUCGACAGUUUCCGGCAAAAGUGAAAAUACAAGGUUUUUGUUAAGUCCGCUCUUCCGAAACUGGAGUAAGAUUCGGAAUGGCCCGGCUGCAUGAAUUCAGAGUAUUAAAUUUAACCCGAGAUGUUUCUGAGUAAUAGAUGUGUAUUGAAAGUGUAUUUAGCGAUGAAUUCUUUUGGGCUACAUGGAGCAACGCAACCGACCAUCCACAGAAGUUAAAUUCACACAUAUGUAGUCAAUUAUUAAAGAGUAUUAAUGCUAAAAUGCCAUGCGCUAAAGGGUUUUCUUUCAUGGUUAAACAGGCAUCGAGAGAAAGGACAAAUUUUGCGGUGUCUCAGGGGUGUCGAUUCGUUUUCGAUCGAAAAGUCACUGUAUGAUUAAACAUGCUUAGCGACAGAAAUUUGGCAUUGUCAGGCUAGGUGGAAAAGGGAAAUAUCCCACUUUCGGUUUCGAUUCGGUUAUUGUUCGUCGUUCAAAAACACUAGUACUUGAGUCAAGUUGUUUCCAGUUGGGCAAGCAGAGGAAAGGUCAUUGUUAGUUAGUCACUUGAGAUAGAUUUGAGUAAGAAAUUUAGAAAAGAAGCAAAAAUAAGUAAUGGCUUUAGACCUUUUCCCUCAUUUCUAAGCUUCUAGAACGAAAUAAACCGACUUUUUAUGAUUGAGCAUUCUUGAAACCUUAUGCAAAUAAGGGGUUUCUUCGUGAGCGCGUCACUGCAAUGGGGAUCUGGGAAUAGUUUUUACGCCCAUUCUGCCUUGUAAUAGAACAAAAUGGCGGCGUGCAAAGCCGUGGAAAGCUUUAAAUUCAUAAUGCAGAAUAGUCAAGCGAAGUUGAUGUUCAAAAUUUAUAGAGUGAAAAGAGUGGGCUCAAAACUUAACUCUCCUGCUGGAUUAUAAGCUGGGUAAGAAUACCAACAUGAAUUAAAGUGAUGGAUAGUUAUAACUGGUCUGCAAUAUUAAGAAGAAAAUAAAUUUGGCAGUGAGAGUUAUUAUAAUAUUACUGUUAGCUGGCUUCAGUAAUUACCUCUAACCUGCCUCCUAAAUACAAAAGAAUUCUAUUAUGUAGAGUGAUUUAUGUCCUUUCUGUGAGAAUGCUGAAUAAGCUCUCUAUUGGUGGCUUAAAUACACUCAAAAACUAAAAUUGCAUCAAUUCUGAAUAAAUAUCAUAAUUGUAAAAGCACUUUUCAGUUA